rnacentral:lncRNA from 1 species
GAAAAUCAAAGCAAAAAAAUCGAUAGAAAAACAUAAACAAGGACGAUACGAAGAUAAAAAACAAAGUGAAAAAACUAAACACAAAUCUUACGUGCGUGUGCAGACGAGAACGGGGGCGAUCGAUCAAUCGAUCAGUUAUCGUAGGAAGAAAGAUAAAAGAGAAAGAAAUUCACCUUCGAAAUCGAGGAAUAGAGAUCGAUGAGCGAUAUUCAAACCCUAAUUUCGCCGGGAAUUAGCGAUCACAAAGAUUCAGAAAACGAUCGACUGGGAGACAACGAUCAGUGAUGAACAAAUGUUGAGGGUUCCGAUCACCGGCGGCGUUUGAUUGGCCAAGAUUCUACUGUGAUUUUCGCUUGUUAAGGAA